rnacentral:rRNA from 1 species
AUUGAACGCUGGGGGCAUGCCUUACACAUGCAAGUCGAACGGUAACAGGUCUUCGGACGCUGACGAGUGGCGAACGGGUGAGUAAUACAUCGGAACGUGCCUAGUAGUGGGGGAUAACUACUCGAAAGAGUGGCUAAUACCGCAUGAGAUCUACGGAUGAAAGCAGGGGAUCGCAAGACCUUGUGCUACUAGAGCGGCCGAUGGCAGAUUAGGUAGUUGGUGGGAUAAAAGCUUACCAAGCCGACGAUCUGUAGCUGGUCUGAGAGGACGAUCAGCCACACUGGGACUGAGACCCGGCCCAGACUCCUACGGGAGGCAGCAGUGGGGAAUUUUGGACAAUGGGCGCAAGCCUGAUCCAGCAAUGCCGCGUGCAGGAUGAAGGCCUUCGGGUUGUAAACUGCUUUUGUACGGAACGAAAAGCCCUGGUUAAUACCCUGGGGUCAUGACGGUACCGUAAGAAUAAGCACCGGCUAACUACGUGCCAGCCGCCGCCGUAACAC